UGCUACUGUAUCAAAGUUUAGUGAAAGACCAAUGGAGGACAUUGUUCAUGAGAAAGAAAAAGCAAUGCGCUCUACAUUUCUUAGGGAUGGUCUACACGUAAGAAGGGUUGUUUGCUUGCUUGUUACAAUGAUCCUAGGCUGACAUGGAGUUUUAUAAUGAAACAAAAAGAGGGUGUUCUGAUGGUGAAAUUUCAGUUGAGAACAGCACUCCAACAAUCAAACACAACUAUGUUUCCUUUUAUUAUCUUGGUACUAUGGUGGGUCGACUACAGGUAUAUCUCUGAAUC